rnacentral:rRNA from 1 species
AUUGAACGCUGGCGGCAGGCCUAACACAUGCAAGUCGAGCGGAUGAAGGGAGCUUGCUCCCUGAUUUAGCGGCGGACGGGUGAGUAAUGCCUAGGAAUCUGCCUGGUAGUGGGGGAUAACGUUCCGAAAGGAACGCUAAUACCGCAUACGUCCUACGGGAGAAAGCAGGGGACCUUCGGGCCUUGCGCUAUCAGAUGAGCCUAGGUCGGAUUAGCUAGUUGGUGAGGUAAUGGCUCACCAAGGCGACGAUCCGUAACUGGUCUGAGAGGAUGAUCAGUCCACACUGGAACUGAGACACGGUCCAG